CCUACGGGAUGCAGCAGUGAGGAAUAUUGGUCAAUGGGCGCAAGCCUGAACCAGCCAAGUAGCGUGAAGGAUGACUGCCCUACGGGUUGUAAGCUUCUUUUGUAAAGGAAUAAAGUGAGGCACGUGUACCUUUAUGUAUGUACUUUAUGAAUAAGAGUCGGCGAAAUCCGUGCCAGCAGCCGCGGUAAUACGGAGGAUCCGGGCGUUAUCCGGAUUUAUUGGGUUUAAAGGGAGCGUAGAUGGGUUGUUAAGUCAGUUGUGAAAGGUUGCGGCUCAACCGGAAAAUUGCAAGUGAUACUGGCAGUCUUGAGUACAGUUGAGGUAGGCGGAAUUCGUGGUGUAGCGGUGAAAUGCGUAGAGAUCACGAAGAACUCCGAUUGCGAAGGCAGCUUACUAAACUGCCACUGACAUUGAUGCUCGAAAGCGUGGGUAGCAAACAGGAUUAGAUACCCCAGUAGUC
rnacentral:rRNA from 1 species